rnacentral:rRNA from 1 species
UACGUAGGGGGCGAUCGUUGUCCGGAAUUAUUGGGCGUAAAGAGCGUGUAGGCGGUUUGGUAAGUCUGACGUGAAAACCUGGGGCUCAACCCCGGGCGUGCGGUGGAUACUGCCGGGCUAGAGGGUGGUAGAGGCGAGUGGAAUUCCCGGUGUAGCGGUGAAAUGCGCAGAUAUCGGGAGGAACACCAGUAGCGAAGGCGGCUCGCUGGGCCAUUCCUGACGCUGAGACGCGAAAGCUAGGGGAGCGAACAGG